rnacentral:misc_RNA from 1 species
AUAGAGUAAGGACAACGCUGUAAAAAGCCGAGUUCUGACCUCCACCCUUGAAUAAACUACCUUUGUUGCUUUGGCGGGCCGCCUCGUGCCAGCGGCUUCGGCUGUUGAGUGCUCGCCAGAGGACCACAACUCUUGUUUUUAGUGAUGUCUGAGUACUAUAUAAUAGUUAAAACUUUCAACAACGGAUCUCUUGGUUCUGGCAUCGAUGAAGAACGCAGCGAAAUGCGAUAAGUAAUGUGAAUUGCAGAAUUCAGUGAAUCAUCGAAUCUUUGAACGCACAUUGCGCCCUCUGGUAUUCCGGGGGGCAUGCCUGUUCGAGCGUCAUUACAACCACUCAAGCUCACGCUUGGUCUUGGGGUUCGCGGUUCCGCGGCCUCUAAAAUCAGUGGCGGUGCCUGUCGGCUCUACGCGUAGUAAUACUCCUCGCGUUUGAGUCCGGUAGGUUUACUUGCCAGUAACCCCCAA